rnacentral:rRNA from 1 species
AGAGUUUGAUCCUGGCUCAGAACGAACGCUGGCGGCAGGCCUCAAACAUGCAAGUCUAGGGGAUGUAGCAAUACAUCACCGGCGGACGGGUGCGUAACACGUGGGAAUAUACCUUUCGGUACGGAACAACGCAGGGAAACUUGCGCUAAUACCGUAUACGCCCUUACGGGGAAAGAUUUAUCGCCGAAGGAUUAGCCCGCGUUCGAUUAGCUAGUUGGUGAGGUAAUGGCUCACCAAGGCUCCGAUCGAUAGCUGUUCUGAGAGGAAGAUCAGCCACACUGGGACUGAGACACGGCCCAGACUCCUACGGGAGGCAGCAGUUGGGAAUCUUGGACAAUGGGGGAAACCCUGAUCCAGCCAUGCCGCGUGAGUGAUGAAGGCCUUCGGGUUGUAAA